UGUAGUGGGCAAAGCGUGAGGGAAACACCCUGAACCAUUCCGAACCAGGAAGUUAAGCCUCACAGCGGUGAUGAUACUGCAUCCUUACGGAUGUGGGAAAGUAGCUCCCCGCUACAC
rnacentral:rRNA from 1 species